rnacentral:rRNA from 1 species
ACCGUAUUUGUUUGAAUCAUGGCUCAGGACGAACGCUGGCGGCGUGCCUAAUACAUGCAAGUCGAGCGGACCAAAAUGAAAGUUUACUUUCAUUUUGGUUAGCGGCGGACGGGUGAGUAACACGUGGGUAACCUGCCUGUAAGACUGGGAUAACUCCGGGAAACCGGGGCUAAUACCGGAUAACUUCUUUCCUCGCAUGAGGAAAGAUUGAAAGAUGGCUUUUGCUAUCACUUACAGAUGGACCCGCGGCGCAUUAGCUAGUUGGUGAGGUAACGGCUCACCAAGGCAACGAUGCGUAGCCGACCUGAGAGGGUGAUCGGCCACACUGGGACUGAGACACGGCCCAGACUCCUACGGGAGGCAGCAGUAGGGAAUCUUCCGCAAUGGACGAAAGUCUGACGGAGCAACGCCGCGUGAGUGAUGAAGGUCUUCGGAUCGUAAAACUCUGUUGUUAGAGAAGAACAAGUACCGUUCGAAUAGGGCGGUACCUUGACGGUACCUAACCAGAAAGCCACGGCUAACUACGUGCCAGCAGCCGCGGUAAUACGUAGGUGGCAAGCGUUGUCCGGAAUUAUUGGGCGUAAAGCGCGCGCAGGCGGUUUCUUAAGUCUGAUGUGAAAGCCCACGGCUCAACCGUGGAGGGUCAUUGGAAACUGGGAGACUUGAGUGCAGAAGAGGAGAGUGGAAUUCCACGUGUAGCGGUGAAAUGCGUAGAGAUGUGGAGGAACACC